AUGAUGUAGGGUGGCGUCCCUGACAUAUGAUGAAGCCUGCGAUGGCUGA
rnacentral:snoRNA from 1 species